rnacentral:tRNA from 1 species
GCGGGAGUAGCUCAGAUGGUAGAGCAUCAGCCUUCCAAGCUGAGGGUCGCGGGUUCGAGUCCCGUCUCCCGCUCC